UUGGAGGGCAGUCUGGUGCCAGCAGCCGCGGUAAUUCCAGCUCUAAUAGCGUAUAUUAAUGUUGUUGCAGUUAAAAAGCUCGUAGUUGUACUUCGGGACCAGUGGGUUGGUCGUGCUACUGUACGUACUGGCCCUACAGGUUCCUCUCUUCUGAAGAACCAUGAUGCCAUUAAUUUGGUGUUGUGGGGAAUCAGGACUGUUACUUUGAAAAAAUUAGAGUGUUUAAAGCAGGC
rnacentral:rRNA from 1 species